rnacentral:tRNA from 1 species
CGAGGUGUAGCGCAGCUGGUAGCGCGCGUGGUUUGGGACCAUGAGGUCGCCUGUUCGAACCGGGUCACCUCGACCA